ACAAUCAAUUCAGCCAAAUAUUACUCUCCUCAAAAUUCACUAACAACCCAGGCUAUGUAGAAUGCUUCCGGUUGCACAUUCAUUUUUUUACAUCUCCUACCUUUCCCUUAUUCUCCAUAUCGUCCAUCUCCUUUUACACUUGUUUUCCUUUUCUCAUUUUUUUCUCAUUUUGCCAAGUAUUAUGCACAUUUCCAGUUGUCUAGGUGUUAGUUAUUGUCAAAAACCAAAAAAUUCAUAUCCAAAAUGCAAUUCAAAAAUACAACCAACAUGCCUCGAUUUGUCCCAUCAUGGCUAAUUCCAAUUCCUGAGGUCCUGUUAUGGUCCUCAAAUAGGUUUAUAGAGAUGCUAUUCCUCAAAGGAUUAACUCAAACUUUAACCUAAGUCCUAAAGGAUGUUAGUCAUGUUAUCUCUCCCAACUCAAACCAUAAAGAGUGAUGUCAUGGAAGAUGCCUGAUCAGUAACCCCACACUUAACAUGAGAUAUUAUCCCAAAAGAAGUUAGAGAUCAAAAGUAAUCCACAAUGAAUGCCACCCCUCAAGGUAUUAUGCACAUUUCCACUUGCCUACGUGUUAGUUAUUGUCAAAAACCAAAAAAUUCAUAUACCAAAAUGCACUUCAAAAAUACAACCAACAUGCCUCGAUUUGUCCCAUCAUGGCUAAUUCCAAUUCCUGAGAUCCUGUGUUAUGGUCCUCAAACAGGUUUAUAGAGAUGCUAUUCCUCAAAGGAUUAACUCAAACUUUAACCUAAGUCCUAAAGGAUGUUAUUCAUGUUAUCACCCCCAACUCAAACCAUAAAGGGUGAUGCCAUGGAAGAUGCGUGAUCAGUAACCACACACUUAACAUGAGAUAUUAUCCCCCAAGAAGUUUGAGAUCAAAAGUAAUCCACAAUGAAUGCCACUCCUCAAGGUGGAUCCCAUUGAAUAUUAUCCCAUAGAGCCAAAGCAGUGAAGGUUUGGUCUGCACAACUAAAUGAAUCUUCGUACGAAAUGGACAUGGAAAUCCCUCCUGAUGACCACAUGGAAACUAGAAUACAGUGGCCACGCUUCGAAUAGGGUGCAUCAUAUAAAGUGUUGGUUCCAGUUACCAAACAUCUAAUAGAAAAGUUUUCAACAUAAAGAACAGGGCUUCUAAAGCCAGGUCAUGUCCAUUCUGCCGCCAAUCAGCCCCAUACUAAGCAGAAAAAAAAGAGGGGCACCUUUAGAUAUCUAACUUGCAAAGCAUGCCAAUUUUCUUCCCCCACCCUUCAUUAUGCAUGUCCCUCUAAAACACCUUUUUUGUUUUAAGAGGGCAACAGCCUUCCAGUCCCCAAAUAAGCAAGCUUGUCAUCUAAGAAUAUAGAGCAUUCAAGGGUAAUAUGGACUCUAGAUCUUGCAAAUAGACAUUUGAAAUGAAGCUUUCAACAGCUCAAGUCUGAAAUUGUCUGCUAAAGGCAGAAGCACAUUACAUCCCAAUCAUCCAUUGUUGAGCAUGAAUGGUUUGGACUACAUGCUUGUAUACUGCAUUUAGUAUGAUAUCAUCAUCAUCAUAGCCUUUUUCCAAUUAAUUGGGGUCGGCUACACAAAUCCUGGUCCACCAUUCCACUCUAUUAAAAGUCAUACCCCCUCACAUUUAGUAGGAUAUAUGAUAUUCUUUCCCAAAACAAAAAAAAUUCCAUUUUUUUUUUUUUACUUUUUUUUUUUUAACUUGGAUAGUUCAGCGGUAGGUCUUGGACUAGCA
rnacentral:lncRNA from 1 species